rnacentral:lncRNA from 1 species
CCCUGCCCCUGUCCCAUUCCCAUCCCUGUGUCCCUGUGUCCCUGUCCCUGUCCUGUCCCUGUGUCCCCUGUCCCUGUCCCCGUCCCAGUCCCUGUCCCCAUCCCUGUGCCUGUCCCUGUGUCCCUGUCCCUGUGUCCCUGUCCCUGCCCCUGCCCCAUUCCCAUCCCUGUGUCCCUGUCCCUGUCCCAUUGCAGUGACCCCCAGGGCUGUCCCUGUCCUUGUCCCUGUCCUUGUCCCUGUCCCAUCCCUGUCCCUGUGUCCCUGUGUCCCAUCCAUCCCUGUCCCUGUCCCCAUCCCUGUCCCUGUCCCAGCCCUGUCCCUGUGUCCCUGUCCCCAUCCCUGUCCCCAUCCAGUCCCUGUGUCCCUGUCCCUGUCACCCACCGCCUCACAGAUGGCCUCCAGGUGCAGGGCCUCGAGCUUUUGUGUCAUCUCCCGGUGCCGCUGCCGGAACCAACCGUCGAAAUUGGGGGACUUGAAGAAUCUCCUGUGGAGAGAGGCCAGGAAUGGUGGAACCGGGGGGUCCCGGAGCUGGGGGGGCCCCACAGGGACCAUCCCACCCAAGAAUCCCAUCCUGAGCCCCCCAGGUGGCCCUGGGGACACAGCAGGACACGGGCACAGGAGCCAGAGCAGCUGGGGCUGGCCCUGGAUCCCGGGAAUGGCCAAGGAAAGCUUGGAGCAGCCUGGGAUGGUGGGAUUGGAAUGGGGUGGGAUUGAAGGUCCCUGGAUCCCAUCCCAAACCAUUCUGGGAUUUGGGAGGCUCUGAAUCCAUCCCGAGGGAUUUUUCUGGAAGUUGGGGCUGGGAAAGGGAAGGGAGACCCUUCCUGCAGUGCCGAGAUUCCCAGGGAAACCCCUGGAUCCCAAAAUUCCUUCCUGGAGCGGAGCCGGGGCAGGGCUGGAGAGAGGGAAUGGAGGGAAUUCCCUGGGCAAGGGGAGAUGGGGCUGGGAUGUUGGCAAUUGGCAAUUGGGAAUUGCUGGCUGGGCUGGAAUUGCCAGAGCAGCUGGGGCUGCCCCUGCAUCCCUGGCAGUGGCCAAGGCCAGGCUGGAGCCUGGGGCUGGGAG